CCAAUAGCGUAUAUUAAAGUUGUUGCAGUUAAAAAGCUCGUAGUUGAAUUUCGGGGUUAGUAGGUUGGUCGUGCCUCUGGUAUGUACUGGUCUCACUGAUUCCUCCUUCCUGAUGAGCCGUAAUGCCAUUAAUUUGGUGUUGCGGGGAAUUUGGACUGUUACUUUGAAAAAAUUAGAGUGUUUAAAGCAAGCUAACGCUUGAAUACAUUAGCAUGGAAUAAUGAAAUAGGACGUUCGAUCCUAUUUUGUUGGUUUCUAGGAUUGACGUAAUGAUUAAUAGGGAUAGUUGGGGGCAUUAGUAUUCAAUUGUCAGAGGUGAAAUUCUUGGAUUUAUUGAAGACUAACUACUGCGAAAGCAUUUGCCAAGGAUGUUUUCAUUAAUCAAGAACGAAAGUUAGGGGAUCGAAGACGAUCAGAUACCGUCGUAGUCUUAACCAUAAACUAUGCCGACUAGGGAUCGGAUGAUGUUAAUUUUUUAAUGACUCAUUCGGCGCCUUACG
rnacentral:misc_RNA from 1 species